rnacentral:rRNA from 1 species
GACGAACCUUGCAAACGUUAUUCGGAAUCACUGGGCUUAAAGGGUGCGUAGGCAGUGCAGAAAGUCGGGUGUGAAAUCCCUCAGCUCAACUGAGGAAUUGCGCCCGAAACUGCUGUGCUAGAGGAAUACAGAGGUGAGCGGAACUCAGGGUGGAGCGGUGAAAUGCGUUGAUAUCCUGAGGAACACCGGUGGCGAAAGCGGCUCACUGGGUAUUUUCUGACGCUGAGGCACGAAAGCUAGGGGAGCAAACGGG